rnacentral:rRNA from 1 species
CGGAGGAUCCAAGCGUUAUCCGGAUUUAUUGGGUUUAAAGGGUGCGUAGGCGGCUUAUUAAGUCAGGGGUGAAAGACGGUGGCUCAACCAUCGCAGUGCCCUUGAUACUGAUGAGCUUGAAUGGACUAGAGGUAGGCGGAAUGUGACAAGUAGCGGUGAAAUGCAUAGAUAUGUCACAGAACACCGAUUGCGAAGGCAGCUUACUAUGGUUCAAUUGACGCUGAGGCACGAAAGCGUGGGGAUCAAACAGGAUUAGAUACCCUGGUAGUCCACGCCCUAAACGAUGAAUACUCGCUGUUAGCGAUACACAGUUAGCGGCUAAGCGAAAGCGUUAAGUAUUCCACCUGGGGAGUACGCCCGCAAGGGUG